CUUUUAGAUUGUAAACUACUUUUACAUAGAAAUAAAAGUUACUACGGGAUGGUAACCUGAAGGUACUAUGAGAAUAAGUGUCGGCUAAUUUCGUGCCAGCAGCCGCGGUAAAACGAAAGACACAAGCGUUAUCCGGAUUUAUUGGGUUUAAAGGGUGUGUAGGUUGUUUAUUAAGUCAGUAGUGAAAGCUUACAGCUUAACUGUAAAAUUGCUAUUGAUACUGAUAAUCUUGAGUCAGAUUGGAGCGUCUGGAAUGUAUGGUGUAGCGGUGAAAUGCAUAGAUAUCAUACAGAACACCAAUAGCGAAGGCAGGAUGCUAAAUCUUCACUGACACUGAGGCACGAGAGCGUGGGUAGCAAACAGGAUUAGAUACCCUGGUAGUCCACGCCCUAAACUAUGAUCACUAGCUAUUGGAAAAAUUAUAUUCAGUGGCCAAGCUAAAGCGAUAAGUGAUCCACCUGGGAAGUACGAUCGCAAGAUUGAAACUCAAAGGAA
rnacentral:rRNA from 1 species